UUCUUUCUGCUUUUCUGUGCUUCGAUUUGGCUCCAAUGGUGAGGGGAUCGGCACGUGGAUCUCGCGCCCGUCGUACCCUCGCCGUGCUUCUGUCUCUGCUGCUGAGGGUUUGCUCCAGGACCGCCAGCCGCUGGUCCUCCCCGUGUCGCAGCUCCGGCUCACGGCCGUGAGCGGAUCGGUGAUGCUCUUCCCAUCUGCGCCCGCGGCGUUCGUGCGCCACGCGGCCGGGCCGUCCUCAUUUAGCAUUUGCUGAUGCUGCUGAGUCCGCUGCCGGCGUUCGUGCGCCCCGCUGCCCUCUUCUUCUUCAGUGCGCCCCGGCCCCCCCACCCCACACCACACCUUUCUCGAGCACAGGGAGUCACGCCCGCCACUUUGCCGCGAUUGUCUCUGCCGCCAUGAUUUUUAGCUGUUGGAGGUCAAAUCACGUGGCACCAGAUCGACCGCCGGUGUAGAUGCCGUGCGGAUGUCCCUUUCUUCAUCUCCUAUUUUCACCCAUUAUUGGAAAUCUCCUUGGAUGAAGAUGCUCCCGGCUGCCUUGCAGGAAUCAAGAUCCACGUGCUGCUCUGGCCCCCACGCUGCUCUCCGGAGGUUCAGCGCUGCCCGGUUCCUUUGCCGCGCCGGACGGAUUUCGCAGCGCCCCUGGCUCCUGCUGGAUGGGAGAGCUGUUCGCCGUGAUUGGCGGCUGCACCUUCCAACGCCGCCCUGACUCCCUCUAGCGGGCGAGCUGGUCGCGGCGAUGGGCUGUGGCGGUUCCUCAUGUUUGACAUCCGGAUUGGGAGGGAGAGCCUCCACGGCAGCGGUGCACUCAACGGAGAGGCUCUCGACGGUAGUGUGCGCUCAACGGAGAGGCUCUCCACGGCAGUGGCGCCCUCUACGACGAGACCCUCGACGGCCGCUGCCCUCUGCAACAUGUUGGUUUAGGCGAUGCAGGUACCGGAGGCAGGCUUACUGCAGGAGACUCUCCGGCUCGCUGCCAGGUUCUUCCUCCGGCCUCCCCCGCGUGCUAUCUGCAGCUAGGAAGUGAACAUCUACCAAAGAAAGAAGCAGCAUCCACAGGGUUAGCCGUUGGGGUAUUGUUUUUAUAUGGGACGCUCUGCAGCUGUGACGGUGUGGCGCGGGCGGCGAGAACGGACCUGCAUCUUUGUUCGAGGCCUCUCAGCCUUUGCGUGGUCCUUUCCUGCAAGGCAAUUCUUCAUGCUGUACUGUAGAUGAGUAGCUGUACAUGCAAAGAAGACAAACCAUAGGCCGGCUACCACGUGGUCAGAGAGGAACUGGAGAACAGACAUAUGUGCUUGGAGAGGAACUGGAGGACAGCCAUACGUGUCUGACGAAAAGAAGAAAAGUCAUACUAAUUUAUUAGGUUACAGGGGCAAUUUACACUGAUUUAGUUAAGGAUGUCUUGCUUGGAGCCCAUCAAUGGAACAUAUUCUAUGCGCAUCAGCAGCGGCGGCGGCUCUGCGCAUCAACAACAAAUCAGAUGAUCUAUCCCUUCUAUUGUUUAGCUCAAGACAAUCUACAAACCUGCACGAAUCUCUAUCGGCGUCAUCUGUUUCAGGCCUGGAAGAUGUAUCGGUGGCCUCUAAACCAGUUCAGUCAAACCAUGUAAUGUUGUUGUCUGGCCCAGUCCAGUGAACCGACAUAUUCUUCAUAUAAUCCAGUGUGAAUGCCCUUAUCCACCUAAGUAUCCCUGCUUAUAUUAUAUGUCUUAUCUUAGUUCAAGUAGUUGUUUGGAGACACUAAUUUUUGAACUCCUGCAAUGCCUGCUUAUAUUAUAUGUGUCAUUUUAGUUCUCACA